rfam:Schistosoma curassoni strain Dakar, Senegal genome assembly, scaffold: SCTD_scaffold0008385
ACUCAACUAACGAGUCUUAAAGAGGACGAAACGCGAGUCCUGGAU